AGGCUAUGAUGUGGGCACUUCCUCAAUAGAUCCUUAAAUCUUUCCCAAGCUUCAUACAAACUCUCUUGAUCCUGAUGGGCAAAAUUCAUUGUCCCAUGUAGUAAAACU
rnacentral:snoRNA from 1 species